rnacentral:rRNA from 1 species
GACGAACGCUGGCGGCGUGCCUAAUACAUGCAAGUCGAACGCAGGGGGGACGGUUGAGUAACACGUGGGUAACCUGCCCAUCAGAGGGGAUAACACUUGGAAAACGGUGCUAUACCGGUAGGAAUAGAUGGUCGCGCGGUGUAUUAGCUAGUUGGGGGUGUAACGGCUCACCAAGGCCACGAUGCAUAGCCGACCUGAGAGGGUGAUCGGCCACACUGGGACUGAGACACGGCCCAGACUCCUACGGGAGGCAGCAGUAGGGAAUCUUCGGCAAUGGACGAAAGUCUGACCGAGCAACGCCGCGUGAGUGAAGAAGGUUUUCGGAUCGUAAAACUCUGUUGUUAGAGAAGCGGUAUCUAAACAGAAAGCCACGGCUAACUACGUGCCAGCAGCCGCGGUAAUAC